GCUUGCUUCUCUGCUGACGAGCGGCGGACGGGUGAGUAAUGUAUGGGGAUCUGCCUGAUGGCGGGGGAUAACUACUGGAAACGGUAGCUAAUACCGCAUAAUGUCUGCGGACCAAAGCGGGGGACCUCCGGGCCUCGCGCCAUCAGAUGAACCCAUAUGGGAUUAGCUUGUAGGUAAGGUAACGGCUUACCUAGGCGACGAUCCCUAGCUGGUCUGAGAGGAUGAUCAGCCACACUGGGACUGAGACACGGCCCAGACUCCUACGGGAGGCAGCAGUGGGGAAUAUUGCACAAUGGGCGCAAGCCUGAUGCAGCCAUGCCGCGUGUAUGAAGAAGGCCUUCGGGUUGUAAAGUACUUUCAGUCGGGAGGAAGGU
rnacentral:rRNA from 1 species